GUGUGAUGGAGGUGUGUGAUGUGAUGGUGGUGUGUGAUGUGAUGGUGGUGUGAUGGAGGUGUGUGAUGUGAUGGUGGUGUGAUGGUGGUGUGUGAUGUGAUGGAGGUGUGUGAUGUGAUGGUGGUGUGUGAUGAUGGAGGUGUGUGAUGUGAUGUGGGGUGGUGUGUGAUGGUGGUGUGAUGGAGGUGUGUGAUGUGAUGGAGGUGUGUGAUGUGAUGGUGUGAUGGAGGUGUGAUGUGAUGGAGGUGUGUGAUGUGAUGGUGGUGUGAUGGAGGUGUGUGAUGUGAUGGAGGUGUGUGA
ensembl:lncRNA